UAAUAAGUAUUUGGACUUUCAAAAAGUGAUACAGUCUUUGUGAUAGUUUUUUACCUUUACAUUAAUGAGUUGGAAAAUAACUUUGUUCAAAGGAAUAGAAAUGCAUAUUUUGCUUAAAUAUUAACAAUAUGUUUUUAAUUCAGUGUGUCUCAGUAAACUAUAUUUUGGAUUGCUGUGUUUUUACCUCAUUGUUUAUUUUUUCUGUCUACCUGGUAAUUUGAGAACCCUCGCUUGCAACAUAUCACCAUAUUAUUCACCUGUUUGAUCAACCUGGAGACCCUUUAAAGAGAUCAUCCUUCAUCAUUUAUGAUAUAAUGAAUGAAUUAAUGGGAAAGAGAUUUUCUCCAAAGGACCCGGAUGAUGGCAUGUAUAGAAAUCACUUGUGUUUUCCUCCUCUAAAGACAGAGGGCCGGUUUACCUGAGUACCAGUUAGAGGCCUUGUGAUCCCUAUAGCUUAGAAGUAUUUUUUUUUAUUUUAUUUUUAAAUAAAUUUGAGUACAUAGUAGGUGUAUAUAGCUUAGUAAUAUUUGCCAUGGUCUUUCUGAGAAAGCCAAAAUUGUGGUACAUUCCUGCCUCUCUUAAGUUUUUAUGUUCUUAGCUUUAUCUUGCAUGUUACCAGUUUUGUUGGCAGGAUUUUUGUUAAUGUUACUGACUUGAAAAUAUAUUUUAUCCAUUGUAACCAAAGCUCUUGUGAACUUUGAUUUUCAGAUAAGUUUUUUCAGUCAGCCAUGAGCAUAUGCGCAUCUCUCAGAGAUCUAGAACUUGCCUACCAAGUACAUGGCCUUUUAAAAACCGGAGACAACUGGAAAUUCAUUGGAUCUGAUCAACAUCGUAAUUUCUAUUAUUCCAAGUUCUUCGAUUUGAUUUGUCUAAUGGAACAAAUUGAUGUUACCUU
rnacentral:sRNA from 1 species